rnacentral:miRNA from 1 species
UGUGGUUGUGGCAUUUUCCCCGGGG